AAAGAAUUACUUAAACAAGUUGAAAAUGGUCCCUCUAGGGAAAGGGAAAUGGGGGGAGGGGAGUAGGUAGAGAGAGGCUGAGGACUGCUCUUUGUCUUAAUUAACCUUGUAGAACUGGUUGACUUUUUAAAUUAUGUGCCUGGUAUAACGUUGAUAAAAUUUAAAAAAUAAUUUAAAAAUGAGUGUGGUGAAUGAGUAGUGUGACAUUAACACUUACUGAGGGUCUACAGAGCCAGCAGGUGUCUCACAUCUAUGUGCUAACCUGCUGGUGCCAGGUUUGCUGAGCUGCUGCAGGUCAUGCGAAACACAUGUGUGAAGGUGCUUCCAUUAGGGAGGUAGCAUGGGGGCUAAUCCCACACCUGUGCUUACUGCUGCCUCGAUGACUUAGUUGCUUAGCCUAACUCUCAGCGUCUCAACUUGGGCAAUCCUGUGAGGGUUUUGUGAAUAAAUGUCUAUAGAAUGCCGAGUGCGCAGGGCCUAGAUCUACAGCCAGCUGCUUCAGGUCCUAAUUUGGAGAAGAGCAAGGGAUAGAGAUGUAGUGAGUGGGACAGAAAACUAUGCGCUCUGCUAAGUGACAGACUCUGGGGCUGGCAGCAUGAAAAGCACAAGAAGGCAGUCCUGCUUCUGGGUUGGUUCAUACCCAGAGCAUCAGACUUUGAUUCUUAGACACUUGUGUCUUAAAUUUCAGUGAAAACUGGAAAGUUUCUGCUUCUGGAGUUUGAAAUGGAGACUCCACGGGGGAAGUUUCUGAGACUGAGUCCUGUUGUCAACUACCACCCUGAGGGGCGGCACAGCAUGGGGCCAGAUCUCAAUACAAGGACUUGACUCCAUGAUCUCCAGGGUCCGUUCCUAGCAGCCAUCUAGUUGUCACUUUGAAAAUCAAUGGAAGGACCGACCUUGAAAGGACUGUGUCCUUAUACCACGAGGAAGAGACACCAGGGGAUGUGGGCUCACAGAGAAAAGGCCAUGGGAGCACACAGCAAGAAGGUGGCCAUCUGCAAAGCCAAGGAGAGAAGAGGUAGGAGAAACCAAACCUGCUGACACUUUGAUCUUGGACUUCCAGCCUCCAGAACUGUGAGAAAUAAAUUUCUGCUUUUUAAGCCCCCUGCUCUGUGGUAUUUUAUUACAGCAGCUCUAGCAAACUAGUACACUCACCUAACAGCUCUGCUUCCCCAGAACAAAUUCUCCCUUCAUACUGAAGGAUAAUGUACAAAAAUGGUUCCUAGAGGCACUCUGGCCAGCCAGCAAAGGGAGGAGGCCGUGUGGCUGGUGGUUAGGACUGGGUGUUAGAAGCUUGUCCUGUCUAGUUAAUGGAUUAUGCUUGAAUGGCUGAGUGAAUGGAAACCAGCUUUGUCUGCUCUUAGACACUAAGUUUGUUUUCUUUUGCCUAUAUACCAAGAUUCUGAAGCUCAACAGAAUGAUAAACUGUUUAAAGAGCUUUUAGUACAAGGGAAAGAUGUAGGCCCAUGAGUAAAGCUUAACUUUACUCUUUGUGAUGUGCUAGGUAAUUUGAAUAAUGAUACCUUAGAAAUAGGAGACAAAGUUUAAAUCUUGGUUGGGAGCUCCAAGAGUAAUUAUGUGGGCUUCUUUUGAGGUUGAAUUCUGUCAGAAUUAAAAAGACAAAUCUGGCAAUUCUGCAUUACUCCCUACACAUUAACUUCAUAGGUUUAUUCAUUCAACAGAUUUUCUUGAUCACUUACUACAUGCCAAUUUCUAUUCUAAAUCAUACAGUUGAAUGGGGGAAAUAUAGACAAGAGCCUGAGGAUAAAAAUAAAUUCUAUGGCCUGACAUUUAAAAAUCCAGUUCAGUCUGGGCCCUGACAACCUCUUCAGUUACCUUCUACAACUCCUAUUCAAAUGCCUUUCUCCAAACAAAUCAUCCCAGUGAAACCUUUCUAAACUUUGUACUUUCACUCUUGUUCCCUACCUGGAUUGCUUUCUAUACCUUAUUUUAAUCCUAUCCAUCCAGCAAAGUGUGGUAGUUAGCCACCCAGGGGAAGCCAGUACCAAGUCUUUUUUUUUUUUUUUAAAGAUUUUAUUUAUUUAUUUGAGACAGAGAGAAUGAGAGACAGAGAGCAUGAGAGGGAGGAGGGUCGGA